UACAGUUUGGUGUAAUCAGCAUUCUACGUUUUGGUUGUGGGGGUAAUUUGAUGUUAGCUGUAA
rnacentral:tRNA from 1 species